ACUGCGCUGCACGUGCAUCUUGACCUAAAAUGGAUGACUUGAGCAGUGGCCUGGAGAUGUUCAGGAGAAGCCCGGAGUGGCUGAGAUUUCAUCAUAAUUGAUGCGAAAGCUGAUUUUCAAAAACCUUUACAGUGCAGGAAACGAUGGAAGAAAGUUCAACAGAGCUGGAUGAUAUUCAUGAGGAACCAGAGAGUGAUUCCUUGGAAUCUGAAGUAUCCAGCUGCGCAGUACUAGACCCAGAUUACAAUCCGGAACACAGAACGUCAUCAUCCAGUGAUGUGGAAGAUUUGAGCCCAAACAAAGGUUCAUCGCUUAAGAAACAGUCCAGUAAAGAAUAUCUUGAAGGUCCAGACACAAAUUUGAGUAAUGAUGAUCAGUAAAGAGGGAAGUGCACCAUUUAUUUAAAAAAAAACAACUUAGAACUUAUCUGAAAAGGCACAAACAACUCGAGAUAAACAAAACAAAUAAAGGCAAAUCAACUGUGACCCUAAAAAUUUGUACAAAAAGGGAAGACCAUAAAUGAGCACUGGACAAAAGACAUUAUUGCCUCUACUGUGGCAAAUCACAGUUAAAGAUCUCGAGGCAUUUGGGGAGAAAGCAUAUCGAGGUCAAAGAUGUGGCAUAUGCCUUCAGCUUUCCAUUAAGAUCAAAAGAAAGAAAGGUUCUUCUGGAACAGCUACGCAAUA